GAGUCAUUGGGACUCUGUUAAACCUAAAGGCGCAAUGAAAGUAAAGGUCCGCCUCGCGCGGACCGAGGGAGGAUGGGCCCGUCCACGGGCGGGCCCCGCACUCCCGGGGCGUCUCGUUCUCAUCGCGAGAAGAGGCGCACCCAGAGCGUACACGCUGGGACCCGAAAGAUGGUGAACUAUGCCUGGUCAGGACGAAGUCAGGGGAAACCCUGAUGGAGGUCCGUAGCGAUUCUGACGUGCAAAUCGAUCGUCGGAACUGGGUAUAGG
rnacentral:rRNA from 8 species